AUUGAACGCUGGCGGCAUGCCUUACACAUGCAAGUCGAACGGUAACGGGCCUUCGGGUGCCGACGAGUGGCGAACGGGUGAGUAAUACAUCGGAACGUGCCCGAUCGUGGGGGAUAACGAGGCGAAAGCUUUGCUAAUACCGCAUACGAUCUACGGAUGUAAGCAGGGGACCGCAAGGCCUUGCGCGGACGGAGCGGCCGAUGGCAGAUUAGGUAGUUGGUGGGAUAAAAGCUUACCAAGCCGACGAUCUGUAGCUGGUCUGAGAGGAUGAUCAGCCACACUGGGACUGAGACACGGCCCAGACUCCUACGGGAGGCAGCAGUGGGGAAUUUUGGACAAUGGGCGCAAGCCUGAUCCAGCCAUGCCGCGUGCAGGAUGAAGGCCUUCGGGUUGUAAACUGCUUUUGUACGGAACGAAAAGCCUUCUUUUAAUACAGGAGGGUCAUGACGGUACCGUAAGAAUAAGCACCGGCUAACUACGUG
rnacentral:rRNA from 1 species